rnacentral:rRNA from 1 species
AGCUUUCAACAACGGAUCUCUUGGUUCUGGCAUCGAUGAAGAACGCAGCGAAAUGCGAUAAGUAAUGUGAAUUGCAGAAUUCAGUGAAUCAUCGAAUCUUUGAACGCACAUUGCGCCCCUUGGUAUUCCGGGGGGCAUGCCUGUUCGAGCGUC